GAUGAAGAACGUAGCGAAAUGCGAUACGUAAUGUGAAUUGCAAAUUCAGUGAAUCAUCGAGUCUUUGAACGCACAUUGCGCCCCCUGGUAUUCCGGGGGGCAUGCCUGUCCGAGCGUCAUUGCUGCCCUCAAGCACGGCUUGUGUGUUGGGCCCCGUCCUCCGAUCCCGGGGGACGGGCCCGAAAGGCAGCGGCGGCACCGCGUCCGGUCCUCGAGCGUAUGGGGCUUUGUCACCCGCUCUGUAGGCCCGGCCGGCGCUUGCCGAUCAACCCAAAUUUUUAUCCAGGUUGACCUCGGAUCAGGUAGGGAUACCCGCUGAACUUUAGCAUAUCAUAAGCGGAGGA
rnacentral:misc_RNA from 1 species